rnacentral:ncRNA from 1 species
CGGAUCAACAUCCCGCGGUGAAUAUGCCCCUGCUCCUUGCACACACCGCCCGUCAAGCCAUGCGAGUUGGGUCCGAGUGAGGAUGUAGUUUUUGCUACAUUCAAACUCGGGCUUAGCGAGCGGGGCUAAGUCGUAACAAGGUAUCCGUAGGGGAACCUGCGGAUGGAUCACCUCCU